rnacentral:misc_RNA from 1 species
UUUCCGUAGGUGAACCUGCGGAAGGAUCAUUAUUGAAACUUCAUCCGGGGCGCCGCGGCCCUCAGCACCGGUGGAAACGCCGUGCUGCGGGGGCCGCGCGUGCACCCGUCCAAACCAAACCCCUGUGAACCUUACGGGAUGGCCCGGGUUAGCGCCCGGUGCCGUUCCGCUUUAUACAAACACUUAUCAAAGAAUGAACUGAAGGCGGUCUGACCGCUGGAUAACAAACUGAAACAACUUUCAACAACGGAUCUCUUGGCUCUC